UGGGGAAUAUUGGACAAUGGGGGCAACCCUGAUCCAGCCAUGCCGCGUGAGUGAAGAAGGCCUUAGGGUUGUAAAGCUCUUUCAGUCGUGACGAUGAUGACGGUAGCGACAGAAGAAGCCCCGGCUAACUCCGUGCCAGCAGCCGCGGUAAUACGGCGGGGGCAAGCGUUGUUCGGAUUUACUGGGCGUAAAGGGCGCGUAGGCCGGGUAUCAAGUUAGGGGUGAAAGCCCGGGGCUCAACCUCGGAACUGCCUUUAAAACUGAUACUCUAGAGUCCGGAAGAGGGUCGCGGAAUUCCCAGUGUAGAGGUGAAAUUCGUAGAUAUUGGGAAGAACACCGGUGGCGAAGGCGGCGACCUGGUCCGGUACUGACGCUGAUGGACGAAAGCUAGGGGAGCGAAAGGGAUUAGAUACCCGUGUAGUCG
rnacentral:rRNA from 1 species